CCGGGAGCUGUAGUCCUGCCGCCGCUGUGGCCGCCCCGUGGAGCCUGGCAGGGACUCGGUGUCCCGGCGCGCCGCGGGCGGAGGGGCGGAGGAGAAAGCCGGAAGACGCGCAGAGCCGCAGCAGGAUGGAGGAGCCCGCUGGGAUCAUUCCCACCCGGAGGGACGCCUUCCUUCCCCAGUCCUGCUGUGAUCGCGUCACCGUAACAAACCUGCACUAAAUUCGCUGGGCAUUUGGAAAAGUGUAUUUAGAGUUGUUCCUGGGCCUACAUCAAAGACCUC
rnacentral:lncRNA from 1 species